UACGGAGGUGGCGAGCGUUGUCCGAAGUUACUGGGCGUAAAGCGCGCGUAGGCGGGGAUUAAGUGAGAAGUGAAAGGCUGGGCUCAACUCCAUGCAGUGCUUCUCAUACUGGUCUUCUUGAGGGGGUAGAGAGAAGUGGAAUGGCUGGUGUAGCGGUGAAAUGCGCAGAUAUCAGGAGGAACACCAAUGGCGAAGGCAGCUCGCUGGGACGUGACUGACGCUGAGACGCGAAAGCGUGGGAGCAAACAGG
rnacentral:rRNA from 1 species